GAUGAACGCUGUCGGCGUGCCUAAUACAUGCAAGUCGAGCGAACGGACGAGAAGCUUGCUUCUCUGAUGUUAGCGGCGGACGGGUGAGUAACACGUGGAUAACCUACCUAUAAGACUGGGAUAACUUCGGGAAACCGGAGCUAAUACCGGAUAAUAUUUUGAACCGCAUGGUUCAAAAGUGAAAGACGGUCUUGCUGUCACUUAUAGAUGGAUCCGCGCUGCAUUAGCUAGUUGGUAAGGUAACGGCUUACCAAGGCAACGAUGCAUAGCCGACCUGAGAGGGUGAUCGGCCACACUGGAACUGAGACACGGUCCAGACUCCUACGGGAGGCAGCAGUAGGGAAUCUUCCGCAAUGGGCGAAAGCCUGACGGAGCAACGCCGCGUGAGUGAUGAAGGUCUUCGGAUCGUAAAACUCUGUUAUUAGGGAAGAACAUAUGUGUAAGUAACUGUGCACAUCUUGACGGUACCUAAUCAGAAAGCCACAGCUAACUACGUGCCAGCAGCCGCGGUAAUACGUAGGUGGCAAGCGUUAUCCGGAAUUAUUGGGCGUAAAGCGCGCGUAGGCGGUUUUUUAAGUCUGAUGUGAAAGCCCACGGCUCAACCGUGGAGGGUCAUUGGAAACUGGAAAACUUGAGUGCAGAAGAGGAAAGUGGAAUUCCAUGUGUAGCGGUGAAAUGCGCAGAGAUAUGGAGGAACACCAGUGGCGAAGGCGACUUUCUGGUCUGUAACUGACGCUGAUGUGCGAAAGCGUGGGGAUCAAACAGGAUUAGAUACCCUGGUAGUCCACGCCGUAAACGAUGAGUGCUAAGUGUUAGGGGGUUUCCGCCCCUUAGUGCUGCAGCUAACGCAUUAAGCACUCCGCCUGGGGAGUACGACCGCAAGGUUGAAACUCAAAGGAAUUGACGGGGACCCGCACAAGCGGUGGAGCAUGUGGUUUAAUUCGAAGCAACGCGAAGAACCUUACCAAAUCUUGACAUCCUUUGACAACUCUAGAGAUAGAGUUUUCCCCUUCGGGGGACAAAGUGACAGGUGGUGCAUGGUUGUCGUCAGCUCGUGUCGUGAGAUGUUGGGUUAAGUCCCGCAACGAGCGCAACCCUUAAGCUUAGUUGCCAUCAUUAAGUUGGGCACUCUAAGUUGACUGCCGGUGACAAACCGGAGGAAGGUGGGGAUGACGUCAAAUCAUCAUGCCCCUUAUGAUUUGGGCUACACACGUGCUACAAUGGACAAUACAAAGGGCAGCGAAACCGCGAGGUCAAGCAAAUCCCAUAAAGUUGUUCUCAGUUCGGAUUGUAGUCUGCAACUCGACUACAUGAAGCUGGAAUCGCUAGUAAUCGUAGGUCAGCAUGCUACGGUGAAUACGUUCCCGGGUCU
rnacentral:rRNA from 1 species